GCUCAGGAUGAACGCUGGCGGCGUGCCUAAUACAUGCAAGUCGAGCGAACAGAUGAGAAGCUUGCUUCUCUGAUGUUAGCGGCGGACGGGUGAGUAACACGUGGGUAACCUACCUAUAAGACUGGGAUAACUCCGGGAAACCGGGGCUAAUACCGGAUAAUAUAUUGAACCGCAUGGUUCAAUGUUGAAAGACGGUUUCGGCUGUCACUUAUAGAUGGACCCGCGCCGUAUUAGCUAGUUGGUAAGGUAACGGCUUACCAAGGCAACGAUACGUAGCCGACCUGAGAGGGUGAUCGGCCACACUGGAACUGAGACACGGUCCAGACUCCUACGGGAGGCAGCAGUAGGGAAUCUUCCGCAAUGGGCGAAAGCCUGACGGAGCAACGCCGCGUGAGUGAUGAAGGUCUUAGGAUCGUAAAACUCUGUUGUUAGGGAAGAACAAAUUUGUUAGUAACUGAACAAGUCUUGACGGUACC
rnacentral:rRNA from 1 species